UACGGGGGGGGCAAGCGUUGUUCGGAAUUACUGGGCGUAAAGGGCUCGUAGGCGGCCAACUAAGUCGGAUGUGAAAUCCCCAGGCUUAACCUGGGAAUGGCAUUUGGGACUGCAAGGCUCGAGUGCGGCAGAGGAGACUGGAAUUCCUGGUGUAGCAGUGAAAUGCGUAGAUAUCAGGAGGAAUACCGAUGGCGAAGGCAGGUCUCUGGGCUGACACUGACGCUCAUGCACGAAAGCGUGGGGAGCAAACAGG
rnacentral:rRNA from 1 species